AACUAACGAGGAUUCCCCUAGUAACUGCGAGUGAAGCGGGAAAAGCUCAAAUUUGAAAUCUGGCAGUCUUUUUUUCCUUCUUUGGCUGUCCGAGUUGUAAUCUAGAGAAGCGUUUACCUGCGCUGGACCAUGUAUAAGUCUCCUGGAACGGAGCGUCACAGAGGGUGAGAAUCCCGUCUUUGACAUGGACUGCCAGCGUGUUGUGGUGCGCUCUCAAAGAGUCGAGUUGUUUGGGAAUGCAGCUCUAAAUGGGUGGUAAACUCCAUCUAAAGCUAAAUAUUGGCGAGAGACCGAUAGCGAACAAGUACCGUGAGGGAAAGAUGAAAAGGACUUUGGAAAGAGAGUUAAACAGUAUGUGAAAUUGUUGAAAGGGAAACGCUUGAAGUCAGUCAUGUCGGCUGGGGAUCAACCUAGCUGCUUCUGCUGGGUGAACUUCCUAGUCUGACAGGCCAACAUCAGUUCUGACUGCUGGAAAAGAGCAAGGGGAAUGUGGCACCUUCGGGUGUGUUAUAGCCUUUUGUCAUGUGUGGCAGUCAGGACUGAGGGAUGCAGCGCGCCGCAAGGCAGGGUUUCGACCACGUUCGCGCUUAGGAUGUUGGCUUUUAAUGGCUUCAAUCGACCCGUCUUGAAACACGGACCAAGGAGUCUAACAUGCCUGCGAGUGUUUGGGUGGUGAAAACCCUUGUGCACAAUGAAAGUGAAAGUUGAGAUCCCUGUCAUGGGGAGCAUCGACGCCCGGACCUGAGCUUUCAGCGACGGAUCUGCGGUAGAGCAUGCAUGUUGGGACCCGAAAGAUGGUGAACUAUGCCUGAAUAGGGCAAAGCCAGAGGAAACUCUGGUGGAGGCUCGUAGCGAUUCUGAC
rnacentral:rRNA from 1 species